CAACUUUUAACAAUGGAUCUCUUGGUUCUCGCAUCGAUGAAGAACGUAGCAAAGUGCGAUAACUAGUGUGAAUUGCAUAUUCGUGAAUCAUCGAGUCUUUGAACGCAGCUUGCACUCUAUGGAUCUUCUAUAGAGUACGCUUGCUUCAGUAUCAUAA
rnacentral:rRNA from 5 species